rnacentral:rRNA from 1 species
UACGGGGGGGGCAAGCGUUGUUCGGAAUUACUGGGCGGAAAGGGCUCGUAGGCGGCCAACUAAGUCGGACGUGAAAUCCCCAGGCUCAACCUGGGAACUGCGUCUGAUACUGGAUGGCUUGAAUCCGGGAGAGGGAUGCAGAAUUCCAGGUGUAGCGGUGAAAUGCGUAGAUAUCUGGAGGAAUACCGGUGGCGAAGGCGGCAUCCUGGACCGGCAUUGACGCUGAGGAGCGAAAGCCAGGGGAGCAAACGGG